GACACAUUACAUAAAAAUCGCAGCCUGGACGCUCUGCGCGGGCCAAUAGGGAAGUGGCUAGGCGGCAAAGCCCGCCCCGGGAGCCCCGGAGACCUACCUCCCAGUCCCGCAGGCGCCGGGGCCACCACCUGUUGCUGCCAACCUAGGAGUGCUGGAUGAGGCCUCUUCUCUUGACCCUCGACCCAGGCAGCCCCAGCUGUCCUGACCUAACCGGGCGGUGCCCAGAUUUAUGGAUCUCCGGCGGCAUUCCCCCAACUCCGUCCCGCGACUCCCCAUCCCUUCGGGUGCCCGCCCCGGCACACACCUCGGAAAUUAGGUCGCACAGGAAGUUAGGGAGCCCGAGUUGGGAUCAGAAGUCAUCCAGAAUCUUCACUCCUUUGACCCAGCAACAAGUGACCCCAAGGCUACCUGAACCUGGGCAGAAGCUGAGGCAGAAUACAAACCACCCCCCAGGAGGCUCCUCCCCUACAGCCAGUCCUUCAGCUAUGCUCUGACCUGCCAGGAGGGGAAGCUGCUAGAUUCACCGGACUGGAGACUAUAGAACAAGAACAAAACAAGACUGAAAAGGAACUAAGACAUGAGCCUGGAACACUGAGACAGCUUCAAGUCAGAUUCAUUUUCUGAACAGAACAAAGCUGGACUUAUCUCCUGACUAGAGUAUGGGCUUUAUUCAUACCUUAUCUUUGGAAUAAAAGGCUUUCUCUUCCA